rnacentral:rRNA from 1 species
AGAGUUUGAUCCUGGCUCAGGAUGAACGCUGGCGGCAUGCCUAAUACAUGCAAGUCGAACGAAGUCUUCAGGAAGCUUGCUUCCAAAAAGACUUAGUGGCGAACGGGUGAGUAACACGUAGGUAACCUGCCCAUGUGUCCGGGAUAACUGCUGGAAACGGUAGCUAAAACCGGAUAGGUAUACGGAGCGCAUGCUCUGUAUAUUAAAGCGCCCUUCAAGGCGUGAACAUGGAUGGACCUGCGACGCAUUAGCUAGUUGGUGAGGUAACGGCCCACCAAGGCGAUGAUGCGUAGCCGGCCUGAGAGGGUAAACGGCCACAUUGGGACUGAGACACGGCCCAAACUCCUACGGGAGGCAGCAGUAGGGAAUUUUCGUCAAUGGGGGAAACCCUGAACGAGCAAUGCCGCGUGAGUGAAGAAGGUCUUCGGAUCGUAAAGCUCUGUUGUAAGUGAAGAACGGCUCAUAGAGGAAAUGCUAUGGGAGUGACGGUAGCUUACCAGAAAGCCACGGCUAACUACGUGCCAGCAGCCGCGGUAAUACGUAGGUGGCAAGCGUUAUCCGGAAUCAUUGGGCGUAAAGGGUGCGUAGGUGGCGUACUAAGUCUGUAGUAAAAGGCAAUGGCUCAACCAUUGUAAGCUAUGGAAACUGGUAUGCUGGAGUGCAGAAGAGGGCGAUGGAAUUCCAUGUGUAGCGGUAAAAUGCGUAGAUAUAUGGAGGAACACCAGUGGCGAAGGCGGUCUCCUGGUCUGUAACUGACACUGAGGCACGAAAGCGUGGGGGAGCAAAUACGAUUAGAUACCCUAGUAGUCCACGCCGUAAACGAUGAGAACUAAGUGUUGGAGAAAUUCACUGCUGCAGUUAACGCAAUAAGUUCUCCGGCUGGGGAGUAUGCAGCAAGUGUGAACUCAAGGAAUUGACGGGGGCCCGCACAAUCGCCGGAGGAUGUGGCCUACUUCGAAUCAACGCGAAGAGGCUUACCACGCCUUGACGUGAACACUAAUACUCUACAGAUUGCCGGACGAUCAUGGAUCACACAGGUGGUGCAUGGGAGUCGUCA